UAUGCUAAAAACCACUGCACUGUGCAUCGUAAGUGGUGAACUUUAUGGCGUAUGAAUUCUAUAUCAAUAAAACAAAUUUUUAAAAAUGAGUAAAUGUAUGAGAAAUGCAUCUCAAAGUCUGAUUCCAGAUUUUACAUCAUCAUCAUCAUCAUCAUCAUCAUCAUCAUCAUCACUAUUAUUACUUGAGAGGCAGAGAGACAGAAAAAGAGUGAGCGAGAGAGAGACCAAAGAAUGAGAGAGCGAGCGAGCUUGUAUCUGUUGGUUCAUUGCUCUGGUACCUGAAAUAGCUGGAGAGGGCCAGGUUGAAGUUGGGAAGGAACUCAGUCCAGGCCUCCUACGUGGGUAGCAGGGCCAACUACCUAUCACCUGAUGCCUUCCAGGGUAUGCAUGAGCAGGAAGCAGGAGCUGGGAGAAGCCAGUACUUGAACAUGGUCACUCUGACAUGGGGUGCAGGUGUCCCAGCCAUCAGAUCAAAUGCCUGCUCUGUGACUCCAGAGUUUAGAAGCCCAGGACUGUGAGGGUUAUAAAUGAUGGUUCUGCUAAAACCACUCGGGUGUUGGGAGUCCUAUUUGGCCUUUGCAGAGUUGCUUUUUGUUGCCAGGGACACAGACUGUGGCUCUUAACCCUGACAGCACUUGUCCUUCUAGCCUGCCCCCUUUCUGCAAGAAGAAUAUUGGAACUCUGAAGAAUGAGCCAUCCUUCUAGGAGUGAAAUGGCCUUUAAAGCCGAAGGAGGCCAUGAGGACUCCUCUCCUGGAUUAUGUGAACUGGUUCAAAAUUGCAGCAUCAUAUGCACUCUGGUGUUUGAUUGGUCCAAGUCAGAACCGCUCUGGGACAAAGGUAGGGCUAUCAGAAUGAGCAAAUAAAAAAUACAGGAUGCUGGUCAGGAAUUUCAGAUAAACAAGGAGAAUUUUUUUUCAGUGUAAGUAUGUUACAAAUAUUGCAAGAGAUAGACUAAAAAAUAUUUAACUGAAAUUCAAUUUGAGCCGGAAGUCCUCUCUCUUAUCUGGCAACCGUAGACACAGAUUACUAGGGAGGUCCUGUAUAGGGUCCCCAAGCUUUAGAGACGAGUCACCCACCAGCACCUUCCUCUGGGCAGAGGAGCGUACAACCGCAUUCAUAC
rnacentral:lncRNA from 1 species